rnacentral:rRNA from 1 species
ACUCAAAGGAAUAGACGGGGGCCCGCACAAGCAGCGGAGCGUGUGGUUUAAUUCGACGCAACGCGAAGAACCUUACCCAGGCUUGACAUGCCGGUGCAGGCGGCGGAAACGUCGCGGCCUUCGAGGGUCCGGCACAGGUGCUGCAUGGUUGUCGUCAGCUCGUGUCGUGAGAUGUUGGGUUAAGUCCCGCAACGAGCGCAACCCCUGCCGGUAGUUAUACGUGUCUACCGGGACAGCCGCCUUGAUGGGCGGAGGAAGGCGGGGAUGAUGUCAAAUCCGCAUGGCCCUUACGCCUGGGGCGACACACACGCUACAAUGGCCGGGACAGUGCGUUGCGCACCCGCAAGGGGCAGCAAAUCGCCCAAACCCGGUCCCAGUGCAGAUCGGGGGCUGCAACUCGCCCCCGUGAAGGCGGAGUUGCUAGUAACCGCGUAUCAGCCAUGGCGCGGUGAAUGCGUUCCCGGGCCUUGCACACACCGCCCGU